rnacentral:rRNA from 1 species
CCUACGGGAGGCUGCAGUGGGGGAUAUUGCACAAUGGGGGAAACCCUGAUGCAGCGACGCCGCGUGGGUGAAGAAGCGCCUCGGCGCGUAAAGCCCUGUCAGCAGGGAAGAAAAUGACGGUACCUGAAGAAGAAGCCCCGGCUAACUACGUGCCAGCAGCCGCGGUAAUACGUAGGGGGCAAGCGUUAUCCGGAUUUACUGGGUGUAAAGGGGGCGCAGACGGCGAUGCAAGCCAGGAGUGAAAGCCCGGGGCCCAACCCCGGGACUGCACUUGGAACUGCGUGGCUAGAGUGCAGGAGGGGGAGGCGGAAUUCCUGGUGUAGCGGUGAAAUGCGUAGAUAUCAGGAGGAACACCGGUUGCGAAGGCGGCCUGCUGGACUGCAACUGACGUUGAGGCCCGAAAGCGUGGGGAGCAAACAGGAUUAGAUACCCUAGUAGUC